UACGAUUUCGUAUAAAUGCACAGCCGUUCCCUCCAGCGAAGCUACCUUUUGCUUUUAACCUCAGUCGCUUUGACUUUUCACCGCAUUUGCGAGGGUGCGAGAUGAAGAACGAGCUUCUGUGCCUCCUCUUUCUCGCACUGAUAUUUGUGGUCUCAGAUGGAGGACUCCCGCAGGAUACCAUUCAAGAAGGCGCUUGCACUGGCCAAUGCCCACAGGGAACACGAGUAGGAUCGCCUUGCGGUAAUGGAUGCAUUUGCAAACGAAGAUCGGCUGAUAUAAACGGUCGGCCAACCUACAACACCAGGCUUUCUUGCGAGAGGAACUGAUGACAUUUUUUGUGGCCACGAAAGGUCUAAACGUUAUACUGAUCGGCCACUGCGAUUACAGACAUAAGGCGCUGCCCCUUCUAAAUAUAUGCCAAUAAAAUGGUGCUUUCAGCAA